AGUUUUUAAACUAAUUUUAAUAUUAAUUUUAUAAUAAUAUUUGAUUGUUAGUUCAAUUAGAUUGAAUUGGUUCUUGUGGGAAAUAAAAUUCAUCAUAUAUUCCUAACAAUCUAAGGUGAAUCCUUAGAUUGUGAUUAAAAAGACAAUCUUAUUUACACUAUCUUUAGAUUAGCAAUGCCAACUGUUGAGGUGGAGUGAGGGACUUUAGUCCCACACCAGCUAUGAGUCAGAAGUUCACUGUCUCAUAUUGGUUCACAGA
rnacentral:lncRNA from 1 species